GGUUAAGCGACUAAGCGUACACGGUGGAUGCCCUGGCAGUCAGAGGCGAUGAAGGACGUGCUAAUCUGCGAAAAGCGUCGGUAAGGUGAUAUGAACCGUUAUAACCGGCGAUGUCCGAAUGGGGAAACCCAGUGCAAUUCGUUGCACUAUCGUUAACUGAAUACAUAGGUUAACGAGGCGAACCGGGGGAACUGAAACAUCUAAGUACCCCGAGGAAAAGAAAUCAACCGAGAUUCCCCCAGUAGCGGCGAGCGAACGGGGAGCAGCCCAGAGUCUGAAUCAGCUUGUGUGUUAGUGGAACGGUCUGGAAAGUCCGACGGUACAGGGUGAUAGUCCCGUACACCAAAAUGCACAGGUUGUGAACUCGAAGAGUAGGGCGGGACACGUGGUAUCCUGUCUGAAUAUGGGGGGACCAUCCUCCAAGGCUAAAUACUCCUGACUGACCGAUAGUGAACCAGUACCGUGAGGGAAAGGCGAAAAGAACCCCGGCGAGGGGAGUGAAAAAGAACCUGAAACCGUGUACGUACAAGCAGUGGGAGCACCUUCGGGUGUGACUGCGUACCUUUUGUAUAAUGGGUCAGCGACUUAUAUUCUGUAGCAAGGUUAACCGUAUAGGGGAGCCGCAGGGAAACCGAGUCUUAACUGGGCGUUAAGUUGCAGGGUAUAGACCCGAAACCCGGUGAUCUAGCCAUGGGCAGGUUGAAGGUUGGGUAACACUAACUGGAGGACCGAACCGACUAAUGUUGAAAAAUUAGCGGAUGACUUGUGGCUGGGGGUGAAAGGCCAAUCAAACCGGGAGAUAGCUGGUUCUCCCCGAAAGCUAUUUAGGUAGCGCCUCGUGAACUCAUCUUCGGGGGUAGAGCACUGUUUCGGCUAGGGGGUCAUCCCGACUUACCAACCCGAUGCAAACUACGAAUACCGAAGAAUGUUAUCACGGGAGACACACGGCGGGUGCUAACGUCCGUCGUGAAGAGGGAAACAACCCAGACCGCCAGCUAAGGUCCCAAAGUCAUGGUUAAGUGGGAAACGAUGUGGGAAGGCACAGACAGCCAGGAUGUUGGCUUAGAAGCAGCCAUCAUUUAAAGAAAGCGUAAUAGCUCACUGGUCGAGUCGGCCUGCGCGGAAGAUGUAACGGGGCUAAACCAUGCACCGAAGCUGCGGCAGCGACACUAUGUGUUGUUGGGUAGGGGAGCGUUCUGUAAGCCUGCGAAGGUGACCUGUGAGGGUUGCUGGAGGUAUCAGAAGUGCGAAUGCUGACAUAAGUAACGAUAAAGCGGGUGAAAAGCCCGCUCGCCGGAAGACCAAGGGUUCCUGUCCAACGUUAAUCGGGGCAGGGUGAGUCGACCCCUAAGGCGAGGCCGAAAGGCGUAGUCGAUGGGAAACAGGUUAAUAUUCCUGUACUUGGUGUUACUGCGAAGGGGGGACGGAGAAGGCUAUGUUAGCCGGGCGACGGUUGUCCCGGUUUAAGCAUGUAGGCUGGUUGUCCAGGCAAAUCCGGAUAAUCAAGGCUGAGGUGUGAUGACGAGGCACUACGGUGCUGAAGUAACAAAUGCCCUGCUUCCAGGAAAAGCCUCUAAGCAUCAGGUAACAUCAAAUCGUACCCCAAACCGACACAGGUGGUCAGGUAGAGAAUACCAAGGCGCUUGAGAGAACUCGGGUGAAGGAACUAGGCAAAAUGGUGCCGUAACUUCGGGAGAAGGCACGCUGGUGUGUAGGUGAAGUCCCUGCGGAUGGAGCUGAGACCAGUCGAAGAUACCAGCUGGCUGCAACUGUUUAUUAAAAACACAGCACUGUGCAAACACGAAAGUGGACGUAUACGGUGUGACGCCUGCCCGGUGCCGGAAGGUUAAUUGAUGGGGUUAUCCGUAAGGAGAAGCUCUUGAUCGAAGCCCCGGUAAACGGCGGCCGUAACUAUAACGGUCCUAAGGUAGCGAAAUUCCUUGUCGGGUAAGUUCCGACCUGCACGAAUGGCGUAAUGAUGGCCAGGCUGUCUCCACCCGAGACUCAGUGAAAUUGAACUCGCUGUGAAGAUGCAGUGUACCCGCGGCAAGACGGAAAGACCCCGUGAACCUUUACUAUAGCUUGACACUGAACAUUGAGCCUUGAUGUGUAGGAUAGGUGGGAGGCUUUGAAGCGUGGACGCCAGUCUGCGUGGAGCCAACCUUGAAAUACCACCCUUUAAUGUUUGAUGUUCUAACGUUGGCCCCUGACCGGGGUUGCGGACAGUGUCUGGUGGGUAGUUUGACUGGGGCGGUCUCCUCCCAAAGCGUAACGGAGGAGCACGAAGGUUAGCUAAUCCUGGUCGGACAUCAGGAGGUUAGUGCAAUGGCAUAAGCUAGCUUGACUGCGAGCGUGACGGCGCGAGCAGGUGCGAAAGCAGGUCAUAGUGAUCCGGUGGUUCUGAAUGGAAGGGCCAUCGCUCAACGGAUAAAAGGUACUCCGGGGAUAACAGGCUGAUACCGCCCAAGAGUUCAUAUCGACGGCGGUGUUUGGCACCUCGAUGUCGGCUCAUCACAUCCUGGGGCUGAAGUAGGUCCCAAGGGUAUGGCUGUUCGCCAUUUAAAGUGGUACGCGAGCUGGGUUUAGAACGUCGUGAGACAGUUCGGUCCCUAUCUGCCGUGGGCGCUGGAGAAUUGAGGGGGGCUGCUCCUAGUACGAGAGGACCGGAGUGGACGCAUCACUGGUGUUCGGGUUGUCAUGCCAAUGGCACUGCCCGGUAGCUAAAUGCGGAAGAGAUAAGUGCUGAAAGCAUCUAAGCACGAAACUUGCCCCGAGAUGAGUUCUCCCUGAGACUUUAAGUCUCCUGAAGGAACGUUGAAGACGACGACGUUGAUAGGCCGGGUGUGUAAGCGCAGCGAUGCGUUGAGCUAACCGGUACUAAUGAACCGUGAGGCUUAACCUU
rnacentral:rRNA from 1 species